rnacentral:pre_miRNA from 1 species
AAAAAGACAAACCCUGAGUUUCUGUGUCCAACUUUGACUGUUCGUCUUAUAUGAAAAUUUUUUAUAAUUCGUAUUUUCAUUGUUGUUAGAAGAUAAAAUAUGAUUAAUAUUUUAUGCAUGACUUGUCUUUUUAAUUUUUUUCAUAUUUUUUUCAAACAAGACGGACGGUCAAACGUUGGGCAUAGAAAUUAGGG